CAAAUUUAAAAUUUUUAAAUUAUCAAUACCACGUUUAUAUAUGGUGUAUAAAUGAUGAUUUUUUUAUUAACAUUAAAUUUAAUGCAUGACAAAACAUAAAAAAUAGAGAAUAAAAUUAAUAUUGUUUGAAAUUUCUUUUAAACUAUAAGCUCUUUUUCUUUAAUUAUUGCAGACCGAGGGGCCAUAACAGACCACGGACCGGGUCUUAAUCUAAAAAAAAUUUUAACUGGACGGCGGACGGUCCUAGACCGUAAAAUAUCGAUUCUUACUGGUCUUAAAAGGUCUAAUAUUUUAAUUUCUUCCCAUGAUUUAAUACUUAAGAGUCGUAAUUAGCGGGAUAUGGAAUCCAUUGGGAUUUUCUAAUCGUAAAUUUUAAAUCUUUCACUUGAGAGCCAUUGAUAUAUUUUUAAAAUCUGAAAUGCAUUUCAGUUUGUAAUCCAAAUUUAAUACUACUUCCGGCCGUGGGACCUUUUCAAUAUAGAAACAUUCAAAAAAAUUAAUGAGGAUAUCGUUUGAAAUUCACGUGAUAGGUACUUUACAUUGUGCCGGUGCUUUCCAUUUCAUGAAUGUAUGAAUAUUGGCCAGUCAUUACGAACGCCAGAUCAACUAUCAAUUUAUCAUCAAAUUCAUUUGUUGCUAAAUUUAAAUAUAAGGAUAAUAUUUAUAUAAAAUAUCAGUAAUAUAGAUAUGUAUAAUCUUUCAUCGAACAAACAACAAAUGUAUAACAUAAUUUUUCUUGAGAUACUAAAAAUUAUUUUUUUUUGUUGGAUUCAAAAAAAAAUAUACACAUUUUGACUUGAGAGAAGAUGGUUCAAUCGAGCAAGAGUUAAAUGGCGUGACCCUAAUCAUCCAUGGCCAUUUAUGCCACUUCUCCCUACCAUUAUUUUUUUAAAUGGUAAAAUUUGCGCUACGAAAAUCAACUUGUUUAUAAUCUACACUAAGAAUAGAUGAAUAACAACACCGAUAGAAGAAAAUAAGUAAAGCAUACAUUCUGCAUAUUAAAUCUCGAAUUUGUUAGAGAUGAUGAAUAUGUUAUUUAUAUAAUAAUGUUUGAUCCCUUAAAAUAUUUUCAUGGCAACGAAAAUCAAAUGAAAACCCUAAAAGCUAUUUAUAAGGAAGGACAAUCAUAUAUCUGUGCCACGGUAGAUUUGUGGCCUAAAAAAAUUACAUGAGAAACCCUGGAAAGACAAUCAGGACCUUUGUCGUGUAGGAAAAUGUCUCUGGAAUACAUUCUUAUGACGAAAUAGGAGAGCUAUUUGGUAGUUAGGGAUUUCGGAUAAACUAGUUGUCAUGGUUACAGAUAACGCUUCCAAUUAUUUCGACAAAUAAGAAUAUGGUGUAAAAAUUAUAAAAACACUUACCAAUGAUUAUGAGAAUGACCUAUUUGAAUUAAGUUAUUAUUAUUGAUGGCAUAUCGGGCGUUUUGUGUGCUAACUAAAGAUGGUCUUUCUGUAAUAUCAAACUCAAAGACUUUGGAAGGAUUUCCUGGAAAAAUGUACAACACAGUGGAGUGCAUAUUAAAGGCUCGAAUCUUCAGAAAUCAGUCUUGAACAUUCUAUGGAAAGCCGGGUGGAAUAGCCUUUACAAUCAGUUACAAAGUAUAUUGAAACAAGCUCAUCCGAUGAUGCUGUAAUAACGCUCAUAUGCCCAGGAAAGGACAAUGGAGUUAAAUAAUUCGUAUCAAAUCUAGAUCCAAAUGCCGGCACAGUUUUUCAGACUUGACCCAAUUAAGCCUUUUUAGACUUUUUUUUUGAAAUUUAUAGGUGUAAGGAGUAUCGAUAUACCGAUACUCUGUGGACUCUCACGUACAUGAAAUUCAGAGAAUUCUAUGACACCUAGAAGUUGUAACUGCGUACAUAAAUUUAGAGAAAGCUGUCCAAGAUAUUGCGGACAAAAUAAAGGAAAAAUAUUCAUUUUUACACGGUUUUAGGCUUAAAAGACAAUUUUUUUUUACCUAUUAAAAAUAAUUUUUCUUAAAAGGGCAAAAAUAAUUGGGUUCAUAUGACAAAGAUCUGUUAAAAGGCUAAAAAGGGAUUUUUAUGGAGAUUUGAAAAGUGGAAUUGUUUGGUGACUUAUAGAUUAUUUAGGGUUAGUUACAAGAUCCAUCAUAAUUUUUUUUCCUAACAGAAAUCCAGAAAUUCCAUACCCUUUGUAGAAAUGUGAGCUACAUAUUAAUAUUUUUCAAAACAUUGUUAAUUUUUCGAUUUUACCAUUGGGAAUAGAUAAUGUUGCUAAUAAGAAUAUAAUUAAAUAAGAAGUUAGCAUAUAUUUUUUUUCAAU